CUGCCUCCCAAGUGCUGGGAUUAAAGGUGUGUGCCUCCACUGCCCAGCUGAACCCUCCUGAAUUCUUGCCUGUAGUUCAUUCCAGAUAUCGUCAAGCUGACAAGGAAUAGCCAUCACAGUCCUCCUACCUCUGCUUCUCGAAUGGCGUGGGAUUCCAGAGGUGAGCUAGGCUCUUCUCACCAUGUUCUAUGAGGCUCAAAUCUUUAAUUUCCUGAAGAAAACUCAUCUAAUACUUGACUCAGUAUCCUUCACUUUGUAUAGAAGGCGGAGCUGAUAGCAGAAGUCCUUGGAGAGGAGGGCUAGUGAGGUGACUCAGCAGGUGAAGAUGCUGGCUGCCCUACCAAACUACUAGUCCGUGUGGGACUGUCCUCGGGGCGAUGCGGAAGUGCCUGCACUGCCGGAGGCGCUAGCUGAUGGAGGCCAACACCAAAGAAUGACCAUCAUCUCCCCCACCAACGCUGGCGAACCUUUCUCUUUUCUCCUGGGUAAUAAUACUGUGUCCCAGGCUUGCUCAGCGGGUGGCCAUAGGAGUCUGGGAGACCCGGUCCAGUGGACAGGGUUUUGGGGUUCCGCUUAGAGUUGCUUCAGUCUAUAGAAAGCUGAGCCGGGCUCUGCCUCUUCUAUCGCAUGACCCCCACCCGGUGGUGGUGUCCCCAAGAGGAGAUCACCCGGAUUCCCCCCACCCCCUUCUACCUCUGCGCAGAGGGAACGCUGCUACUUUCGGAGUUGUACUCCUUGGUCCGGGAUAUUCCUAGACCCUGCGCCUGAGGGGCUGGGAGCGCAGCGCUUUGUUAUUCAGCCGGAAAGAUGCCCCAAGAAUUAAAAGACUUUAUAAAAUGUAGGUUGACUACACCACCUGCACCUGCCUUCAUUGUUGCUCUCUCACAGAAUUUCAGAAAUGCGCUAGGCCUCCUGGUGCAUGCCUAUAAUCCGAAGGCAGG